UUACCAAGGGUGCCAAUAAUUCUGACCAUAACUAGCAUUUUUAAAAAUAAUUUUUGUAACAAUGUAAAAGCCUUUACUGCUUAUUUUGAUCAACUGUAAUGCAUCCUUGCUGAAUGAAAGUAUUCAAGUUUGCAUGAAAUAAAAAAUUAACCCUAUUUUCAACAAACAUCUUAUGAAUAUUAAUCAAGGUUCGUACAGAUACUGUAAAAUGAAAGUCCAAGACGUUCAAGGACUUUUCAAACACUAUUUUUUGGGGUUUUCAAUAACUACAAUCAGAGAUCUCACUUAUCAAACAAUAUCUUUAUUAUCUUGCAAAUUCUAAAAAAGGUAUUUAGAUAAAUAAAUAUAUACUAAUAAAACAAAAUUUUACAAAUAAAUGGAGCACAUGCAAAGUAUGCAAUGACUGUGGCAACUUUAGGUAUGGGAACAUUAACAAAGUCCUACUACUUUCACUGCACAGAAGAGCAAAUAGAAAGAGGGCAUAAACUUCUUAAAUGAUUCUUAUUAACCCUUUAAACCCGAAGGCCCACAGGCACCACCUAGCUACAAUAAAAUUAAUAAUCAUAUUUUUAAAAACUCCUGCCUUGAUCAACACAAAAUACGGGUCAUUUGAAAGCGUAGAUGUACAAUGCGUACAAUGAAUGUAGCUUUUAUGAUUAACUCCUAAGUAGUGCAGAGUUAUUUACUGAUAAAUAAAAAAUAAUAACUUCAUAAUUUAUGAAAUACUUUUUUGUACUAUGUACUGCAAUGUGUCAAAAACAUCAUACAGCUCAGAUAGUCAUGUGUCAAUGUCGUUUGAAAGGUCUCACGGAGUAGCAAUUUGUUACGUUUUUGCUUGUAACAUCAUGAAACAUGCUUCGAUUGUGGAUAAUGGCACAUCAUUAUUUACAGCAGAUUACAAUUACAAUUAAAAUGAGUCCGUGAGAUUAAGAUCAACAUAAUCCAAUGCGUCGAUCACAAGAUAUUCCUCACGGAGUAACGUUUUCAAAAAGGCCCAUUAGGAGGGUGUCAAGUGCUAAACAAAAAGGCUAUACUGUAAAACUUUACUGUAAAUUUACAGGUAAUUUCUAACAGUAUUAUACUGUAUUUUCCUAAAACAGUAACAUGCUGUAUAUUUUACAGAAUGUCUGUAAAUAUACAGUAGUUUUCUGUUUUCAGUCGGUUUCACUCAUAAUACAGUAUAAUACUGUAGAGGCGUUGCAUUAUGGGAUUGAUUUUUUUUUUUUUUUUUUUCGUGCUCAUUUUUUAAAUUUCUAGGCCAGGCAUACAUUUUAGCUUCUCUCCCAACGCUUUUAGUGUUUCACGUCGACUCUUCAGGGUUUAAUGUUAUCAUUAAACGAUAUUUGAGUGAAUAUAGUGUGCAGUUUUAAGCUUUUGAAGCGUCAGUUUGCCUGAGACGCGGGAUGACUGGACGGCGCUGCUGAGAAGACGGAGAUGUUAUUUUCCGCCUGAUUAAUCAAAACGUUUGUGCCUGUGUCGAGAAGACGGAUAAACAAUUGUUCGGCUGAGAAUACGAUAAGUCAGUCUUUUCUGGAGCUUUUCAUUCGCGUUUCUACUUUGUCAUGAAUGGUUUGAUCUUGAAAUGUUAAACUUUUGUUUCUCAUGAGCAAACGGUUAACGUUACUGUUUCACGCAGUAACACUGAUGUUUCAUUUUAUAGACAAACCUAAGCAUAUGUAAUUCUUACAGAUUUUUAAACUGUUUCGUUUUUUUGCAUUUUUUUUCUCGUUUCAGGCUGAAUCAUCUGAUGUAGCUCCAUUGUUUACGUAAGUGUUGUGCUUAUUUUCACAUGUAGCCUAUCAGGUUUAUGACAAAGAAUUCAGUGAAUAAACGAUUUUAUUUUGUCAAUUAUUUUAAGCAUUAUUUUAAGAUGUAUCUUUUCUGAAGUGUAACACGACACAUUACUGAGAUCAUACGCUUAGCUGUGAGUCCUUGUGUUCACAAAAAUGCUAUUGUGAAUGAAUGCACAAUAUUCACUUUUUUCUCUCUCCCUCUCUCUCUCUCUUUGCUUUUCUGCUUUUAGGCUCUUUGACAUAUACCCUAAACAUGGCUCAAGAACCAGGAAGGGGGGGAAAUGACCUUCUUGAAAUAUGGUUUUGUUAACGCACUUUGACAUCAACCAUGAACACGGCUCAAGAAACAAGAAGGGAAAGUGACUGGCAACACUGCAAAAAAGGAGCAGUACUGAAAAACUUGUAGGCCUACUAUUUGUUUUUACUCCACAUUUGGAAAAAUGUUAAAAGUAAAUAAGAUUGCUGUACUGUUCAUUGAUAACUGUUGAGUGCAUUUAAAAUGUUGACCUUUCAAUGUUGCAAUUUUCUGCUUUUUUCCCGUAGAAAAAAAUAAAAGUUUUAAAACUCAGAGUAUGUUGCUUUCCAUUUCCUUUGCCAUAACAUAAUAACAAAAGUAUAUUUUUUAAUUAUUUAAUGACAAAUAUAAGUGCAGUAUGAAAAGCUGUAUAAAUGCAGUUAAUAGCUGUAGAUAAACAGUAUAAUGCUGUAAAAGUACAUAAUAUUACAGCCUUCAGGGCUUAAAGGGUUAAAAGAUGUAAUAACAGAUGAAAACAAAGGAUUUAUUUGUAAAAUGUGAAGCAUUUCAUGUUAAUUAAUAAUAAAGUAUUUAUAAUAAUUAUAUUGCAAUCUAAUGACUUUUUUUUUGCAAUAAAAAUAUUGCUUACUGCUUUUUCCUCUUUUUUAAUACUCAAAUUUCAGAUAUAAGGUAUUAUUUUGUCAGGCCCAACCUGACAAGCAAAGCAUCUCCGGGGUGAAGCUGAAUCAGAUGCUUCACUUCAAAGAGAUCAAAUCCACUGACCAGCGCUGCCGCUCGUCAUGGUAAAUCCCCUUAACCAUUGAAAGGAUACUAUGACAAAGAUAUCACUUUCCUCAUUCAAAGUGAUUUUUUUUUUAUGAAUAUAUGACUGACCUGAAGAAUGAAAGUUGUGUCAUAUACUUGGAAAUAUAUGAGCAAUAUCACACUCAUAGCCAUGCAAACAUAUAUCAGACGGGUUGCAGUGUUAAUUUUGCGUGAAAAGAUUGUAUGUGUUUUAGCGAAAAAAUUAAUCACUAAAAUUCCAUAUAUAUUGUCUUUCAAUAAUUCAAGCACUUUUAGAGUACCUUUUAAUAAAUAUGGCUGUUUACAAGGGUUUUCAAGGACUCAAAUUUCAAAAAGUUAAAUUCAAGUACUUUCAGCACUUUUAAGCACCUUGUACGAACCCUGAUUAAUACAUGCAUAUGUUUUUCUUUUCUUUUUAACGUUUUGACCUCGUAAUGUUUAAUUAAAAUGUCAUAAUUAGACCUCCCAGUGAAAACAACAGACUUCUCUCUGGUGACAUAUGCAGUACCUCUCCAAUAACUUAAUCCACUUAAACCCUACCCCUUCAAGCUCCCUUUCAUCUCCCUCCACUUUUGAGUGCAAUGCAGAUCUCAAAAUCCAAUCAACAAUACAAAAUAAAAAUUGGUCGCUACUUCAGUUUCAUUGCGACUUUAAUUUCUUAAAAAAAAAAAAAAAACUGACUCUAAACAUUUGAAUGGUAGUGUAUGUUUGCAUUACUUAAAUGUGUUACAUAAAUGUUAUUGCUGACUACAGAGUCACAUAACAACAUGAGUUCUGCAGACGCCAUCAACGACAGGAGGUCAACAAAAUUUUGUGAGAUUGAUUUAUUUAUUUAUUUAUUUAUUUUUAUUUUUUAAGGAAUUUAAAAAAAUUAGGGGUGCAACGGUACAUGCAUUUGUCCUGAACCAUCACGGUAAGGACGUCACGGUUCGGUGCAAACAGUCAGAUAAUGAAUACAUUCAGUCACAGGCGAUCCACACUCCAAUCCAGAAAGGGUGCUCACAGUAAUGCAAUGCUGUUUGCUAACCAACACAACAGGAAAAAGAGCAGAUGAAGAAGAGAAGAUCACUGCACCAACCCAAAACAAGAAUGGCAACUUGCCAUUGGCGAGUUCAGAUGGCAAGUAAGAGCUUGCUAGUAGCCUACACACUGAGUUUCGAUUCAUUUUUGUGAUACGCUCCAUGCACAAAUUUCACAGAAAGGAAACCGGGACGGUGUACACAAAUAAAAGUAGACCCUUUAGUUUCAAAUGAUUUUUUACUUUUAUCUGUAUGACCUCAAGUGACGAAGUAUUUUAAGUAGGGCUGCACGAUUAAUCGAAAUUAAACCGAAUGCGAUUUGUCAAAGGCGCAGAUUGUCAGUGAAGCAUGGCUAAAUUCAGUAGUAAAUGCUGCUCCAUCUGAAUGCCAGAGGGCGCUCUCACGCAGAAACUCCAAAUAUGCCCCGAAGAAGAUAAAGCACAUCAUUCCAGGAAAUCCCUAUGGGCAUCAUACUAUUGCUAUAGCUGAAUAAACAGAAGAUUGAAAUGCCUUGAUUGAUUAAACAUGACUAAUAAACACACAGCUACGACAAUAUAUGGUUUAUCUGAGUUCUUCAAGCCUUUUUUUGAUUUUUGUCAUAAUAAUAAAGUAUAUUUACAAUGCAAUGCUAAUCAACACAGCCAUCACUGUAUAGAAUACUAUGAAAUAAUAUGUUGUGUGCCUUAUUUUGUGUAAGAAGCCACAUCAUCUCACAGAAGGAUGUUAUUUUCAAACACUCAGCUGAAGUUAUGAAGUGAGUUUGGAGCAUGCACGGCGCCAGAAUUUUUUCUCUACCGGUGCUAAGGGGGGGCUAGACCAAUAUGUGGGGGUGCUAAGAAAAUAAUCGAUAUUCAUGACGUCAGAGUUACUUCAUAAAUUGUCGUUUUUACACACAUUACUUUUUUUUUUUUUUAUAUACACACAACCCGUCCUGUACAGCUAUGAUCAGCUGUUCGUCCAUCUCGGCUGAGCUUUCGAUGUUUUGUUAUGGAAAGGCCGAAGCUGAUCACUUCUAUUAUGAGCACGCUUGCCGCGCGUCUACAUUUGAAACAACGAACUUGUGAACAUGUUGAGGGUCUAUAAAUUUUGCUGCUAUGUGAAAAAAAUCCAACAAAACACAACACAACUUGGCUUGUAACAGUACAUUGUCACAACUACUGUUAAGGUGUCAUUUGUUGUGACAGACAUGAGGUUUAGGCACAUAAUCAAGGUUGUUUAUUCCACUCUGAGUGAUUGGGACACAUGCAUGUGCAGGAUGCAUGAGAAUCUGGGUUUUCUCAGAAGAACAUGUAAAGAACCCAUACUGUGCAAGAGCCAGAAACACCCACCCAUGGCUGCAUGCUUUUAUUUUUUUAUUUUUUAUUUUUGUAACACUGACAAUGUCCACAAAAUAUACUUAAUUACAUACAAACACACAAAACACUUGUGCACACGUGUAUCACUAUAUUAGUGAGGACAUCUCAUAGACUUUCAUUGUUCUGUUAUUUGGUUAAUGACAUUUUCUCAAUAACAUAAUUUCCUAAACAUAACCAUCACAGAAACCUGUCUAAAACACUACAUUUAAAUACAAACAAGAGAGGUGUGGCUCACAAAUCGGUGUUAAACAGGUUUCGCUAUAUUAAUGAGAACAUUAUCACCUCACAAGUGUUGUCAAACCUGUAUACACAUAUGGACACACAUUCCUACCCAGCUACCCAGUGUUCAUUCCUGUUAGGGUUAAGGUGAAUUUUUUUUUUCUUUUUUUUUUUCUAAAUAAUAAUAAUAAUAAUAAUAAUAAAGUUAAAACACUAUUUAAAUGAAUAUUUAUUAUGUUUGGUCAAUCAUUUGUCCCAUUGUUUAACAAACUGCAUUAUUUACAAAAAAAAAAAAAAAAAAAAAGGUUUGAGCCACCUUUAAAAGGAAAAUAAUGACUUUGUGUUUUUAGAAAAAUACACGUAUAACAUAUAUAGUGAUUUUUUUUUUUUUUUUUUUUUU